CUUGGUCAUUUAGAGGAAGUAAAAGUCGUAACAAGGUUUCCGUAGGUGAACCUGCGGAAGGAUCAUUAUUGAAUAAACUUGGUUAGGUUGUUGCUGGCUCUUAGGAGCAUGUGCACGCCGACUCCAUCUUUAACCACCUGUGCACCUUGCGUAGAUCUGAAUAUUUCGAGAACACUCGGUUUGAGAAUUGCUGUGCGUAAGCCAGCUCUUCUUGUAUUCAGGUCUAUGUUUUCACAUACCCCAUAUGAAUGUAUACGAAUGUUGCAAUUGGCCUUGUGCCUUUAAAACAAAUACAACUUUCAACAACGGAUCUCUUGGCUCUCGCAUCGAUGAAGAACGCAGCGAAAUGCGAUAAGUAAUGUGAAUUGCAGAAUUCAGUGAAUCAUCGAAUCUUUGAACGCACCUUGCGCUCCUUGGUAUUCCGAGGAGCAUGCCUGUUUGAGUGUCAUGAAAUUCUCAACCUAUCUAGUUUUCUUACUGGUUAGGCUUGGAUCAUGGAAGUUGCUGGCUCAAUUCGAAUCAGCUCUUCUUAAAUGUAUUAGCAAAGACUUUUGCUGACCAUCAUUGGUAUGAUAAUUAUCUAUAUCAUUGGUAACCAGUUCCCUUUCAUAGGGAAGUCUUGCUUCUAAUAGUCGUUUCGACAACUUGACACCUUUGACCUCAAAUCAGGUAGGACUACCCGCUGAACUUAAGCAUAUCAAUAAGCGGAGGAAAAGAAACUAACAAGGAUUCCCCUAGUAACUGCGAGUGAAGCGGGAAAAGCUCAAAUUUAAAAUCUGGUAGUCUUUGGCUGCCCGAGUUGUAAUCUAGAGAAGCGUUAUCCGCGCUGGACCGUGUAUAAGUCUCCUGGAAUGGAGCGUCAUAGAGGGUGAGAAUCCCGUCUUUAACACGGACUCCCAGGGCUUUGUGAUGCGCUCUCAAAGAGUCGAGUUGUUUGGGAAUGCAGCUCUAAAUGGGUGGUAAAUUCCAUCUAAAGCUAAAUAUUGGCGAGAGACCGAUAGCGAACAAGUACCGUGAGGGAAAGAUGAAAAGAACUUUGGAAAGAGAGUUAAACAGUACGUGAAAUUGUUGAAAGGGAAACGCUUGAAGUCAGUCGCGUUGAUCAGGGAUCAACCUUGCUUUUGCUUGGUGUACUUCCUGGUUAACGGGUCAGCAUCAAUUUUGACCAGUGGAAAAAGAUCAGGGGAAUGUGGCAUCUUCGGAUGUGUUAUAGCCUCUGGUCAUAUACAUUGGUUGGGAUUGAGGAACUCAGCACGCCGCAAGGCCGGGUUUUUACCACGUUCGUGCUUAGGAUGCUGGCAUAAUGGCUUUAAUCGACCCGUCUUGAAACACGGACC
rnacentral:rRNA from 1 species